rnacentral:rRNA from 1 species
GAUGAACGCUGGCGGCGUGCUUAACACAUGCAAGUCGAACGGAAAGGCCCAAGCUUGCUUGGGUACUCGAGUGGCGAACGGGUGAGUAACACGUGGGUGAUCUGCCCUGCACUUCGGGAUAAGCCUGGGAAACUGGGUCUAAUACCGGAUAGGACGAUGGUUUGGAUGCCAUUGUGGAAAGUUUUUUCGGUGUGGGAUGAGCUCGCGGCCUAUCAGCUUGUUGGUGGGGUAAUGGCCUACCAAGGCGUCGACGGGUAGCCGGCCUGAGAGGGUGUACGGCCACAUUGGGACUGAGAUACGGCCCAGACUCCUACGGGAGGCAGCAGUGGGGAAUAUUGCACAAUGGGCGCAAGCCUGAUGCAGCGACGCCGCGUGGGGGAUGACGGCCUUCGGGUUGUAAACUCCUUCCGCUAGGGACGAAGCGUUUUUGUGACGGUACCUGGAGAAGAAGCACCGGCUAACUACGUG